CUAUAACCGUACAAGAUGUAAAUGAUAAUAGACCUGAGUUUAAUACAGGUAGAUUGGAUUAUAACGUAGAUCAAAGAACACUGCCAGGUAUACUCGGAUCAAUCAACGCUACAGACAGAGAUACAGGCCAUAACGCUCAAAUAUACUACUCUAUGAAAGGAGCACAGCCAUCUUCUACAACUAAUUACGUUCACGUCACUGGUAAUGGUGACGUCAGAUAUACCAGUCUCUUCCCUGAUUCAGCCAGUGGCAGUUAUCUCCUCUUUGUUGAAGCGCGAGAUAAUGGCGAGCCGCCUAGAUCUUCAACAGGCACCGUAGCUAUAACCUUCACUACAACUACUACAACCACUACAACUACAUCUGCGACAACGACAGUGGUUACGACUACGGUAACACGAACGUAUAAUUUCUGGGAACACAGUGAAAAUUUGAUCUUGUUUGCUCUGUUGAUGACGUUAUUGGUUUUGGGGUGUAUUAUUGGGGCCUGUUUGUAUCUGUCCGGUUCGUGCUGUGGUUCAAGAUCAAGAAGAAGACGUUGGGAUUGUGAUGGAUGUUGUCCCAGACAAGAAGUUCACGUAAGAAGAGUUCAACCAAUCUACGAAGAUUAUUAUCCUUCACACGAACCAUCUGUAGCAUCAGCGGAUUACCGUGAAGAUUUCUGGAACAAAGGUGAUCAUUUUGAAGAUGGCCGACCGUGGUCGACUGGUCUGGUCAGAUUGCAGGAUCCAAGAGGAGUUGUAGAUAGGACUGUUCUAGCCAGAAAAAUACAUUAAUAUUAGUUCAGCUCGACAUCGGAAGUAAUGACGGAUGACAGGACUGUUCUAGCCAGAAAAAUACGUUAAUGCCGCGGCACCG